rnacentral:rRNA from 1 species
AGAGUUGAUCUGGCUCAGAGCGAACGCUGGCGGCAGGCUUAAUACAUGCAAGUCGAGCGGGCGUAGCAAUACGUCAGCGGCAGACGGGUGAGUAACGCGUGGGAACGUGCCCUUUGGUUCGGAACAACACAGGGAAACUUGUGCUAAUACCGGAUAAGCCCUUACGGGGAAAGAUUUAUCGCCGAAGGAUCGGCCCGCGUCUGAUUAGCUAGUUGGUGAGGUAAUGGCUCACCAAGGCGACGAUCAGUAGCUGGUCUGAGAGGAUGAUCAGCCACACUGGGACUGAGACACGGCCCAGACUCCUACGGGAGGCAGCAGUAGGGAAUAUUGGACAAUGGGGGCAACCCUGAUCCCAGCCAUGCCGCGUGAGUGAUGAAGGCCUUAGGGUUGUAAAGCUCUUUUGUGCGGGAAGAUAAUGACGGUACCGCAAGAAUAAGCCCCGGCUAACUUCGUGCCAGCCGCCGC